CCCCUGAAAGACUAACAGGUUGAUAGGUUCAAGGUGUAAGCACAGUAAUGUGUUCAGCCAGCGAAUACUAAUCGGUCGAGGGCUUAACCU
rnacentral:rRNA from 1 species